rnacentral:misc_RNA from 1 species
GCCACUAACAUCUGACGAUCUUUAAGAAAUUAAAUUAGACUAUCAAGUUGAUAGAGCCUACAGCGAUGCAACAUUUAGAGAGAGACUUUUCUCUCUUUUUCAUGGGAUGUUGGUACCUCGAGGGUACUUUGCCAACUACGCCAUCUAUGGCCGACCCCUUGAAUUAUGGAGUAUGGAGCUCUGCCGCAUCUUUGAGCUUAUUUUGUGUUGUUUUCUUUCAAGCUUUG